AAAGUUCUCCUCUCAAGAUCUCUUCUCCAGGAACUUAGCUCCCAGAGUGGUUUUCCAGGAUUGCUAAGGGACAUGUGACAAUCUCUGUCAUUAACUCCAUGAGCCCUCUACUUUGGGGCUCAAAGUUUCCCUCAGGCCCAGAGAUGGAUGCAGGGACUCUCCAGGCUAGAAGAGCCUCUGGCCAGCAGCCAACUUCCAAUGCAAAGUGCAACUCCAGUCACGAAAAAGACCUGGGAAGUCUUGCCAAGUGCUGAAGACUGCCAGAAAAGAAGAAAGGGCCUGCAUAAGCCUGCCCCCAUCUCCUCAUGGAGAGAGCCAGCUCAACUUGUUCACCUACAACCAUGGAGGGUGAGCACGUGGGAGCUGGAUGUGUCCGGGGGAGUCUGAUAAGGGGGCUGCCAAGAGCCUAAAGAGAGUAUCUGCUCACAUGUCGGCUGCAGCAAGCAGGAGGGAACAGCCCCCGGACAGCAGAGAAUUCCAAAAAAUAAGGCUUUCCAGGAUUUUCUGCCUAGGGGCUUCCCUGGUGGCUCAGUGGUAAAGAAUCUCUUGCCGAUGCAACAGACAUGGGUUUGAUUCCUAAUCUAGGAAGAUCUCACAUGCGGAGCAACUAAGCCAGAACUACUGAGCCUGUGCUCGAGAGCUUGAGCCACAACCACCGAGCCCCGACGCUGCAACUCCUGAACCCCAGAGCCCUACUGAGCUCACGCACCCUACAGCCUGUGCUCCACAACAAAAGAAGCCACUGCGAUGAGAAGCCCGUGCAUUAGAGUAGCCCCCGCUGGAUGCAGCUAGAGAAAAGCCCACACAGCAGCAAAGACUCGCACAGCCAAAAAUAAAUGAUUCGUAAAAACUGUUCUGCACAGAAGAUAUGUCCCUUAUCCACUUAUGAAUAUAUGCAAUCAUUUAUUUAUAUCAAUAUGGACUUGUUUUAGACUUCGGGUUAUAGUCAAUACUACUUUAUUUAUUGUACUGCUCAAAAUUUUCCGCUUAGCCAUUGGGCACUCGGUCAGUUGAGUCCUGUGCCCCUUUGCCAUUUCUCUAUCCAUGUGUUUGUUUUGUGAGCACUUCCUUUCUCUCUGGCACUACAGGAUGCUUCAGUUUCAUCUUGUAUAUUUCCCACCUCAGUCCUGGAGUCAGACCAUUCUCCAGGGAGCCCUGGUUCCUGUUAUGGGAGAAUGAUUCUAGAAACCAAGAUUCAGGUACUUGGUGUUGCUCAUUGUUACUAGAGUGUCGUUUCCCAGGUAACAGAGCAAAGAUAAAAAUGUGUUUACUAGUCUAUAUAUAGACAUCCAUAACUAUUUCCAUAUGUAACAAUCUGUGUCUAUAGUAAGAUAAACAUGAAUUCUUACUUUGCCUACAACUCUACUCCAGUACCACAUGGAUCAUUCUAGUCUUGCUUAUCUUUCCACUCUGAUUCUGAUGCAUUUUAAAGGCCUCAUCCCAGGGAGGGCUGAUCACCCCUUUUGAAGAAUUUCUUUUCUAGAAGCAUGUUGUCUGUGAAGGGGGAAGAAAAGUCACGCCUAAUUUCUGUCAACAGAGAGGGGGAAAUAUCGUCAAUUGGCAAAAAGUUUUAAAUGUCCUUAAAGUUAUCCGUUGAAUCUGUUGCUGACGGAAACAGAGAAGUCUGCAUAAAGUCCCCAAAGCACAAGGUCUACACAGGUGACUCUGGGUCCAAGGCCUGGCUGACUUUGCUCCCAGCGUUUCCCUCUUAGCAGAGUCCUAGUGACUCCUGACCAUAACCCACAGGAGGACCCCAAACACAACUGUCCAUCUUCCAAAGUCAUGCUUCUCAUGUCCCUCUCGACGAGGUCGUGUCUCAGACCAGAGGGGCUCCCCCAGCUUGGCUCACUGACAUUGGUCACCUCCAACUGCAGCUUACCAGCAUGAUGUCCCACAGAAAGACUGUCCAUGUCAGCCCAGCGGUGCUCAGGGAGCACCUUCUGUGCCCUCUUGGCCUGGCUCCUCACCGCCCAGGAGUUGUGGCUCUCCCUUUGACACAGACAUAUGCAGCAAGUUUCUCCCUCCCUUCUCAAGCCCUUCAUGGGAUACGUUUGGCCAUAUUGGUGUGGGAUUCUCCAUCCAAGCAGGCAGACUCCUUGUGAAACAAAGUUUAUGUUUAAUUACACAAGUAGUGAUAAUCAGAACAUUUUCCAUGGGUUGGCUCUGUUCAGAGCAUUUUGCUUCUAUGAGUUUAAUCCUCAUAACAAGUCAUUAUUAGCCCUAUCUUUUUAGAAGAAAAAAGAAAAAAGUAAGGCUCAUUGAGAUUUAGUUUUGUGCCUCUUAUACAGCUAAUAACUAAUAAAACCAGGAUCUACACUAACCAUGGCCAUAGGUACUGCAGCUAAGCAAUACAUUGAUGCAGGCUCAUUGUCUAAAAAUAAGUAAAUAAAAAUCCCCAAGCACA